rnacentral:rRNA from 1 species
UACGUAGGGUGCGAGCGUUGUCCGGAAUUAUUGGGCGUAAAGGGCUCGUAGGCGGUUUGUCACGUCGGGAGUGAAAACUCAGGGCUUAACCCUGAGCUUGCUUUCGAUACGGGCAGACUAGAGGUAUGCAGGGGAGAACGGAAUUCCUGGUGUAGCGGUGAAAUGCGCAGAUAUCAGGAGGAACACCGGUGGCGAAGGCGGCUCCCUAGUACGGUACUGACGCUGAGACGCGAAAGCGUGGGGGAGCGAACAGG